ensembl:snRNA U4 U4 spliceosomal RNA
AGCUUUGCGCAGUGGCAGUAUCUUAGCCAAUGAGGUUUAUCCGCGAUUAUUGCUAACUGAAAACUUUUCCUAAUACCCCGCUGUGAUGACUUCAAAUAUAGUCGGCAUUGGCAAUUUUUGACAGUCUCUACAGAGG